rnacentral:rRNA from 1 species
AUUGAACGCUGGCGGCAGGCCUAACACAUGCAAGUCGAACGGUAACAGGAAGAAGCUUGCUUCUUUGCUGACGAGUGGCGGGCGUGUGAGUAAUGUCUGGGAAACUGCCUGAUGGAGGGGGAUAACUACUGGAACGGGAGCCUAUACCGCAUAAUGUCGCAAGACCCAAAGGGGGGACCUUCUGGCCUCCUGCCAUCGAUAGUGCCCAGAUGGGAUUAGCUGGGAGGUGGGGUAACGGCUCACCUAGGCGACGAUCCCUAGCUGGUCUGAGAGGAUGACCAGCCACACUGGAAAGGAGACACGGUCCAGACUCCUACGGGAGGCAGCAGUGGGGAAUAUUGCACAGUGGGCGCAAGCAUGAUGCAGCUAUGCCGCGUGUAUGAAGAAGGCCUUCGGGUUGUAAAGUACUUUCAGCGGGGAGGAAGGGAGUAAAGUUAAUACCUUUGCUCAUUGACGUUACCCGCAGAAGAAGCACCGGCUAACUCCGUG